AUUGAACGCUGGCGGCAUGCCUUACACAUGCAAGUCGAACGGUAACGGGCCUUCGGGUGCCGACGAGUGGCGAACGGGUGAGCAAUGUAUCGGAACGUACCUUUCAGUGGGGGAUAACGUAGCGAAAGUUACGCUAAUACCGCAUAUUCUGUGAGCAGGAAAGCAGGGGAUCGCAAGACCUUGCGCUGAUUGAGCGGCCGAUGUCGGAUUAGCUAGUUGGUGAGGUAAAGGCUCACCAAGGCGACGAUCUGUAGCGGGUCUGAGAGGAUGAUCCGCCACACCGGAACUGAGACACGGUCCAGACACCUACAGGAGGCAGCAGUGGGGAAUUUUGGACAAUGGGGGCAACCCUGAUCCAGCCAUGCCGCGUGAGUGAAGAAGGCCUUCGGGUUGUAAAGCUCUUUCGGCCGGGAAGAAAUCGCACGGGCUAAUACCCUGUGUGGAUGACGGUACCGGAAUAAGAAGCACCGGCUAACUACGUGCCAGCCGCCGCUGUAAGAC
rnacentral:rRNA from 1 species